rnacentral:lncRNA from 1 species
GUCACGCAAUUGGAAAGACUAAUUUUGUAUGUUACUGUCCACUCUUGGAAUGGACAUAAGCACUUCUAUAGACCUGACUGAUGCUCUGUGGGAGAUGGGAGCCAAACCAGGUUACAUAUUUUGCGUCUGACUAUAAGAGUUUACAGUUUACUUACAACUUAUGCACUCCCAAUAUACGGCUUUUGGCCUGAGGACACCAUCUGCAACAUAACACCUUUAAAAGAACUCUCCCACAGACUUUCCCAUAUUCCAUGUAAUGGAAAAUCACAACGCCACACCAUUUACAAGGCAUUGAAAACCAAGGAGUGGCCCAAGAUGUCAGCUCCAAGAAACUACAGUAAAUAUCUUGGGAUUAGAAGGAAUGAUUAAACAACUAGCAUUCCAGCAAGAAGCAUCUGUCUUUUGUCAUUCUCCCCAAAGCAACAUAAAAUGUGCAGAGGAAGGCAGCCAUUUCAGUGGGGGCGAAGGAGGUCGGCUGUUUGUAACAUUUUCCACCAUUCCCUUACAGCUAAAACCCAAAUCCCAUUACUUUCCAACUGCCUAUCAAAGGAGGGUGUUUGCUGAUGCAGCCCAAGGAGGCCUACUCGCUAUCCAUGGUAACCCAUGGCAGCCCCUGCGUCCUGGAGGAAGAUUAAAUGGCAGAGCCUAGGGAGGAGCUGGAUGUGAAACCAUGUCCUGAUGCCAAACUCGCUCGGUUUAUACGUGGGACGCCUACCAUAGCAUGGCUGCCAAGCAGUGCCAUGUCCGCACCCGGGAUCCGAACCAGCGAACCCUGGGCUGCCGAGAAGCGGAACGUGCGAACUUAACUCCUGCGCCACCGGGCCGGCCCCCGUCUCCAUGGUGGAGGAGAGAGGAAAAGGGGCUGAUGGACUGGGAGUAAUUUUCUUUCUGCUACCAGAAUGUGUAUUCUAAAUAUUAGUGAUUUCCUUUGCAACCCAGAAUAGAGGCUGA